rnacentral:rRNA from 1 species
UACAGAGGGUGCGAGCGUUAAUCGGAAUUACUGGGCGUAAAGCGUGCGUAGACGGUUAUGUAAGUCGGAUGUGAAAGCCCCGGGCUUAACCUGGGAAUUGCAUUCGAGACUGCAUAGCUAGGAUGCGGAAGAGGGAAGUGGAAUUUCCGGUGUAGCGGUGAAAUGCGUAGAUAUCGGAAGGAACACCAGUGGCGAAAGCGACUUCCUGGUCCAGCAUCGACGUUCAGGCACGAAAGCGUGGGGAGCAAACAGG